GACAACUGCUUCUAACAGGAACCUGUAAAAGAGAAAUUAACAUAAUUAUAAACAUAUAAAGAUGGAACAAAACAAAACAGAAGUCAUAGGAACACAAGAAUCAAGAACAAUUUCUUAUUCUUACACAAGUUCUUUCCAAGGUUUGUGUACACAACCGAAUUCAAAAGUAAAACAUGUAAAAACUAAACUCUCAACAAAAACAUACAAUUCGAACAGAACUCCAUCAUUUUAAUUAUAUCAUUUCUAUUGUCAGAAUCAAUCAAAAAUACAACAUUCUAUAUCUAUAACCAAAAGAAACAAAAAAAAGAGUUAAAGGGUAAUCACAGGAGCACGAGAGAGCAAACCCAGAAGAUUGACUCUCGCCAGAGACGAACUUCGACAAGGAAUUAUCAACCGAGCCAUUUAAAAGAACACCCAAAUUCUAAAAAUCCCUAAAGCAACAAUAACUCUUAACAAUAAAAUUAAAUUAAAAACACUUCCUCCUUGUUGCGGCUAAAAUCUCCAAUCUAUAAACCCUAGAUGAUAACUCUCUCUACUCACUAUAAACAGAGAAGAAUCAAAAGAGAAAACACAGAGCAGUAAGUUAUGGA